rnacentral:lncRNA from 1 species
CCCGGGUGUUAGGGGAAUAAUUUCAUAGUUUAGUCCUUUACAAAUAUGUGCUAAAUAAAUUAUGGUAAAAAAUAUAAUUUGUUCAUAUUUUAGUCAUUUGCAAAUAUGAGCGAGAUAAAUUGUGGUACAUAGAGAUAAUAAAGAUGAAAUAGAGGUAUGUAAUUAGUCAUUUUUAGAAUAAGCUACAAUGGAGAAACUUUUCAUUUAUAUAUUAUAUUUCAGCUAAAUAAAUUGUGGAGAAAAAUAUAAUUU